rnacentral:rRNA from 1 species
ACAGUGGACUCGAGCAUCUUUGUGGUCAAAUUAUUAAGUGCAAAUGGCGGAUGCCUUGGCACCAGAAGCCGAUGAAGGACGUAGGAGGCUGCGAUAAGCCUCGGGGAGCUGUCAACCGAGCUGUGAUCCGAGGAUUUCCGAAUGGGGAAACCCAGCCAGAGUAAUGUCUGGUUAUUCCCGCCUGAACACAUAGGGCGGGUAAAGGGAACGUGGGGAAG